rnacentral:rRNA from 1 species
UACGUAGGGUGCAAGCGUUGUCCGGAAUUAUUGGGCGUAAAGAGCUCGUAGGCGGUUUGUCGCGUCUGCUGUGAAAACUCGGGGCUCAACUCCGAGCUUGCAGUGGGUACGGGCAGACUAGAGUGCGGUAGGGGAGAAUGGAAUUCCUGGUGUAGCGGUGGAAUGCGCAGAUAUCAGGAGGAACACCGAUGGCGAAGGCAGUUCUCUGGGCCGUAACUGACGCUGAGGAGCGAAAGCGUGGGGAGCGAACAGG